rnacentral:rRNA from 1 species
GACGAACGCUGGCGGCGUGCCUAAUACAUGCAAGUUGAGCGCUGAAGGUUGGUACUUGUACCGACUGGAUGAGCAGCGAACGGGUGAGUAACGCGUGGGUAAUCUGCCUUUGAGCGGGGGACAACAUUUGGAAACGAAUGCUAAUACCGCAUAAAAACUUUAAACACAAGUUUUAAGUUUGAAAGAUGCAAUUGCAUCACUCAAAGAUGAUCCCGCGUUGUAUUAGCUAGGUGGUGAGGUAAAGGCUCACCAAGGCGAUGAUACAUAGCCGGCCUGAGAGGGGGGAUGGCCCAAAUGGGAACGGGAACAGGCUCCAGAUUCUUAGGGGAGGAGCAGGAGGGGAACUUUGGGCAUGGGGGAAAGGCUUGACGAACAAAGGCGGGUGGGUGAAUGAAGGUCUCGGAUCGGAAAAAUCCGUUGGUAGGGAAAGAAGAUGUGGAGAGUGGAAAGCUCAUAAAGUGACGGUAACUAACCAGAAAGGGACGGCUAACUACGUG